rnacentral:pre_miRNA from 1 species
GGGGAAGCGCAGGAAUCGCGGCUGUGUCCCCGGCGCCCUGGGCUCGGGGCCUGCGCUGCUGGAAUCGCGCUCCCGGGUCGCAGCUCCCA